CCUACGGGAGGCAGCAGUGGGGAAUCUUGCGCAAUGGGCGAAAGCCUGACGCAGCAACGCCGCGUGCGGGAAGAAGGCUUUCGGGCUGUAAACCGCUUUCAGCAGGAACGAAAAUGACGGUACCUGCAGAAGAAGGAGCGGCCAACUAUGUGCCAGCAGCCGCGGUGAUACAUAGGCUUCAAGCGUUGUCCGGAUUUAUUGGGCGUAAAGAGUUCGUAGGCGGUCGAGUAAGUCGGGUGUGAAAAUUCUGGGCUCAACCCAGAGACGCCACCCGAUACUGCUUAACUUGAGUUCGAUAGGGGAGUGGGGAAUUCCUAGUGUAGCGGUGAAAUGCGCAGAUAUUAGGAGGAACACCGGUGGCGAAGGCGCCACUCUGGAUCGAUACUGACGCUGAGGAACGAAAGCAUGGGUAGCAAACAGGAUUAGAUACCCUGGUAGUCCAUGCCGUAAACGGUGGGCACUAGGUGUGGGAGUCUAUUAACGUAAUACGUCGCCGUCGCGUACGCAUAAGUGCCCGCCGUCGGGUACGGUACGGUCGCGACGAACGUAAACGUUAAAGGUAAAGUUAGUAACGGUCGUGUUAGACGUGCCGAACGGACGACGACGAGGGAGGAGG
rnacentral:rRNA from 1 species